UUUGUCAUGAUGGAGGCUGGUACAUCCUUUCUCCUGGAUGAAGUUUGUUGCAAAGCCAAGCUUGAUUAAGAAGCACUUGGAGAAGAGACAUAGAAAAGCUGCAGUCAUGCUAUCAGUCUGUUUUAAGGCCAGUUGGAAUGAAGUCAUGCAAUGGAUUCAGUUUGGCUGGGUGAAAAAAACAUCCCAUAUUUGCAUUGUUAUAGUCCUUCAUCAUUCACAUUUGAUCUAUCUGGCAUUUGAUACAAGAUACAGGCACGGACAAUUUGCCUCAAACUGCUACAAUGUUUACAGAAGAGAGAUCAUCCAAGAUAGAGCUAAGAAAAUGUUAUCUUGAAUUUCCAGACUUCUGGAAACCUGUUCUGAGAAGUGUCAGUCUUCCCUAGCUCUCCCCUAACCCCCCCCUCAUCUCCAAGUGGUCAAUCCUCCCUUUCCCUGCCCCUUUCCCUGGAACAUUCCCUGUCAUGUUAGUUCUGCCCUAAACUCCUCCCCUGCUAUUCCCUUAGUGGUUACUGUUCCUACACCCCUCCUCCUGAGUUCUGUAUAAAACCUCUGCUCCCGCCCCCGAGGGGGUCUUGGGGCUCAGUGAAUAAAACCAUCCUGUUCACCCCCCA
rnacentral:lncRNA from 1 species